UGGGGAAUAUUGCACAAUGGGCGCAAGCCUGAUGCAGCCAUGCCGCGUGUAUGAAGAAGGCCCUCGGGUUGUAUAGUACUUUCAGCGGGGAGGAAGGGAGUACAGUUAAUACCUUUGCUCAUUGACGUUACUCGCAGAAGAAGCACCGGCUAACUCCGUGCCAGCAGCUGCGGUAAUACGGUGGGUGCAAGCGUUAAUCGGAAUGACUGGGCGUGCAGCGCACGCAGGCGGUUUGUUAAGUAAGAUGUGACAUCCCCGGGCUUAACCUAGAAACUACAUUCAAAACUGGCAGGCUAGAGUCUUGUAGAGGGGGGUAGAAUUCCAGGUGUAGCGGUGAAAUGCAUAGAGAUCUGGAGGAAAACCGGUGGCGAGGGCGGCCCCCUGGACAAAGACAGACGCUCAGGUGCGAAGGAGUGGUGAGCAAACAGA
rnacentral:rRNA from 1 species